AACUUAGACCCACAUUAUAUAGCAUGCCCCGUCGUCUCCGCCAUUAACAUCGAAUUUAUUGCUUUCAUCUCUUUCUAAUUUAUCCUUUUUAUUUGAUUUUCAGGACUCGGUCGAUGUCGACGCCACCAUCCCCACCGUCUGCUCCAGUCUUCACUCUCCAAGUAAGAUUUUAGCUUCCCAUCACUUUCUUUCUCACAAUCCGAACUGGUGUUCCCUUCUCCUCUCUACCCCACCUCCAUUGCACCACCAGUGAACCAUCGCCCUUUUAAAAACCCUAGAGACCACCGUUUCCAACACCACUCAACCCGUUUUAAAAACCCUAGAUACGAAAUUUACCAUCGUCUCCUCUAACAGCUUCCACCAUCGUCUCCUCUAACUAGGAACAUGAAUGAGGCUAUCAUAUUAUUCAAUGGAAGUUCCUGCUCAUAUUGCUUUAUGAUUUUGCAUUCUAUUAAUCUCAUGGGGUAUUCAUGUCUUUCUGACUCACUCUUGAUCAGAUUCUUUUUCUUCCUUAAAUUUCAUCAGGUUCAACUGAUGAUGUCUUUUGGACUAAUUUCUACCAGGGGAUAUUAUUGUGUACUAAGGACCUUGGAAGUCAAAGAGAUGUUUACCUCGGUCAGAUCUCCUUUUGUUGACUACUUGCCAUUUGACUAGAAGAAGCAAGAUGUCCCUUUAUCAAGUAUCAUGUGUAAGGAGCUCAGAUGAAUUGUUUUUGGAAUUCUUUAGGUAUUAAGCUUCAAAACUUGCUGAAUAGUAAAAAUAUGAAGAAUGUAAUAGAAAAAGGUUGCAUUGUUUCUUUCGAGCUAUUACAUUGGAGAGAAAAUAAAUAAUUGAUUUUUAAUGAAAGUGAACAAUUAUGUGGAAAAA